GGGCCGGUAGCUCAGCGGUAGAGCAGGAGACUUUUAAUCUCUUGGUCCUGGGUUCGAUCCCCAGCCGGCUCA
rfam:Candidatus Daviesbacteria bacterium RIFCSPHIGHO2_02_FTLL_36_13 rifcsphigho2_02_scaffold_34977, whole genome shotgun sequence.